rnacentral:rRNA from 1 species
AACGAACGCUGGCGGCGUGCCUAACACAUGCAAGUCGAGCGCGAAAGGAGCAAUCCGAGUAGAGCGGCGCACGGGUGAGUAUCACGUGGGUAAUCUGCCUCGAAGUCUGGAAUAACUUUCCGAAAGGUUAGCUAAUGCCGGAUAAGCUCACGAGACCUUCGGUCGUUGUGGGAAAGGUAGGCCUCUGUUUACUAAGCUAUCACUUCGAGAUGAGCCCGCGGCCCACUCAGCUAGUUGGCGGGGUAACGGCCCACCAAGGCUACGACGGGUAGCUGGUCUGAGAGGACGAUCAGCCACACUGGAACUGAGACACGGUCCAGACACCUACGGGUGGCAGCA